AAGGUGGAUGCCGAAAAACCUGAACAGAGUAGGCA
rfam:Bacteroidetes bacterium GWA2_40_15 gwa2_scaffold_37100, whole genome shotgun sequence.